GUAAAUUUAUGUUGAAAUUUCAAUUCAAUUAUAAAUGUUAGUUCAAUUAUAAACGAGAUUUAUUCUUGUUGUGUGUAUACACAGCAAUGCUGCGUGAUUGACUGGGAAGAAUGACGAGGCCAAGUAUAAG